CAGCUGAGCCAACUUCCCAAAAUAGCUAGCUACCCUAGGCUAAUUAGUAAGUAAAGAUAGCGAAAAAGUAUUCUUUCUAAAAAAAAAUCUUAUACUUCAACAUUUUCAACUUUGCAAGAUAUCGGUAAGCAAACAACGCCCCAGUAUUCCUCUGGGUCACCCACUUGCUAUCCAAAUGAGUCAAUGACACAGGAGACCACUGAUGCGCAACCAUUUCCUGCUGCGGUUCAUCAGCCGUGUGCAGACACGUUUUCAACCUCCGAGGAAGAGGAGGAGAAGACAAUGGAGAAAAACGAUGGUGUGUUGACUGAAGAGGAAGUAUCCAGCUGUUUAUCCAACCUCUGCCACUGGACUAGAGCAUGUCUAUCAGUUCCUCUCUGCACCUAUUUAUCCUGUGUAUAAGCCACAUGCCAUAUCUCAUCAUCCUGGAUGCCUCCCACAAUGAACUCACCGACUUUUUGGAUUCCAGCCGCCCAAGAACCUCAAGAUGUCAGUGAUGACACAUUUGUCAGCCUAUUCGUCUCUGAGUAAACUGAAUCUGGACUACAACUGUUUCAGUGAGAUUGGUGGUCUGCUGCAUUGUGCCAGCCUCACACACCUCACCUUUCCCCCCGUCUCAUAUUUAAACCCCAGACAUAAUUGAGCUUCAGCUUUUCAAAGACACACCAACAUGAGCUCCAGUGUGAGAGCCACCAUAUGGCUGUACCAGCGGGCCUCCGGACCCUUCCCUCUCCCUCUCUGACAGAUGCUGGUGUCCUUUAUCAAAGUGAUUCCUCAUCGUCAGCACGAUGCAGCCGUGUCCUCCCCUGUCCGGUUUCCCCUCCCCUCUGGGGCCAGCUGCCAGCGGUGUCAGUGAGCCUGGACCCUGUUCAACCCCCCCCUUUCUUCCUCCCUCACACCUCACCCCGUAGCAUCCCUGUCAACCAGGGAACCAGCCGCUGUCUCCAUCUCCCCUCUCCCUUCCCUCUCGGCCCUCUCCUGCCCAGCCACGCUCCCUAACAGUGUGCUACCUGUCAGCCAGCCGCCUCUCUCAGCCCAUCACACCCAGGCCACGAGAGCUUCCAGGGCUCUGCGCGGUCACCGUCCCCCGCUGUCAGCAGCUCUCUGCCAGGCAGGCUAGCGGUGGAGGGCAGGGCAUGGGGGCACAGGGGCUGGAUCCUGGAUGACAGCCCACGCAGGGGGAAGGUGGGGUGAG